rnacentral:rRNA from 1 species
GAUGAACGCUGGCGGCGUGCCUAAUACAUGCAAGUCGAGCGAACAGAUAAGGAGCUUGCUCCUUUGACGUUAGCGGCGGACGGGUGAGUAACACGUGGGUAACCUACCUAUAAGACUGGGAUAACUUCGGGAAACCGGAGCUAAUACCGGAUAAUAUUUCGAACCGCAUGGUUCGAUAGUGGAAGAUGGUUUUGCUAUCACUUAUAGAUGGACCCGCGCCGUAUUAGCUAGUUGGUAAGGUAACGGCUUACCAAGGCGACGAUACGUAGCCGACCUGAGAGGGUGAUCGGCCACACUGGAACUGAGACACGGUCCAGACUCCUACGGGAGGCAGCAGUAGGGAAUCUUCCGCAAUGGGCGAAAGCCUGACGGAGCAACGCCGCGUGAGUGAUGAAGGUCUUCGGAUCGUAAAACUCUGUUAUUAGGGAAGAACAUACGUGUACGUAACUGUGCACGUCUUGACGGUACCUAAUCAGAAAGCCACGGCUAACUACGUG